GUGCUCGCUUUGGCAGCACACGUACUAAAAUUAGAACAAUACAGAGAAGAUGAGCAUUGAGGCCCCUGCACGAGGAUGACACACAAGUUUGUGAAGAAUUCCAUAAUGAA